GUGCUCCCUUCGGCAGCACAUACACUAAAGUUGGAAUGAUACAGAGAAUAUCAGCAUGGCCGGCGCACAAGGAUGAUAUGCAAAUUCAUGAAGCAUUCCAUAGUUUU